UUGAACGCUGGCGGAAUGCUUUACACAUGCAAGUCGAGCGGCAGCGCGGGGGCAACCCUGGCGGCGAGCGGCGAACGGGUGAGUAAUACAUCGGAACGUACCCAGUUGUGGGGGAUAGCCCGGCGAAAGCCGGAUUAAUACCGCAUAUUCUGUGAGCAGGAAAGCAGGGGAUCGCAAGACCUUGCGCUUUAGGAGCGGCCGAUGUCGGAUUAGCUCGUUGGUGGGGUAAAGGCCUACCAAGGCGACGAUCCGUAGCUGGUCUGAGAGGAUGAUCAGCCACACUGGGACUGAGACACGGCCCAGACUCCUACGGGAGGCAGCAGUGGGGAAUUUUGGACAAUGGGCGCAAGCCUGAUCCAGCCAUGCCGCGUGAGUGAAGAAGGCCUUCGGGUUGUAAAGCUCUUUCAGACGGAAAGAAAUCGGGCGCGUGAAUAGCGUGCCUGGAUGACGGUACUGUCAGAAGAAGCACCGGCUAACUACGU
rnacentral:rRNA from 1 species